rnacentral:rRNA from 1 species
UACGGGGGGGGGCAAGCGUUGUUCGGAAUUACUGGGCGUAAAGGGCUCGUAGGCGGCCAACUAAGUCGGACGUGAAAUCCCUGGGCUCAACCCAGGAACUGCGUCCGAUACUGGUUGGCUUGAAUCCGGGAGAGGGAUGUGGAAUUCCAGGUGUAGCGGUGAAAUGCGUAGAUAUCAGGAGGAACACCGGUGGCGAAGGCGGUUCUCUGGGAAUAUCCUGACGCUGAGGAGCGAAAGUGUGGGGAGCGAACAGG